rnacentral:rRNA from 1 species
UACGGAGGGAGCUAGCGUUGUUCGGAAUUACUGGGCGUAAAGCGCACGUAGGCGGCUUUGUAAGUUAGAGGUGAAAGCCCGGGGCUCAACUCCGGAACUGCCUUUAAGACUGCAUCGCUUGAAUCCAGGAGAGGUGAGUGGAAUUCCGAGUGUAGAGGUGAAAUUCGUAGAUAUCCGGAAGAACACCAGUGGCGAAGGCGGCUCACUGGACUGGUAUUGACGCUGAGGUGCGAAAGCGUGGGGAGCAAACAGG